rnacentral:rRNA from 1 species
AUUGAACGCUGGCGGCAGGCCUAACACAUGCAAGUCGAACGGUAGCACAGUGAGCUUGCUCUCGGGUGACGAGUGGCGGACGGGUGAGUAAUGUCUGGGAAACUGCCUGAUGGAGGGGGAUAACUACUGGAAACGGUAGCUAAUACCGCAUAACGUCGCAAGACCAAAGAGGGGGACCUUCGGGCCUCUUGCCAUCAGAUGUGCCCAGAUGGGAUUAGCUAGUAGGUGGGGUAACGGCUCACCUAGGCAACGAUCCCUAGCUGGUCUGAGAGGAUGACCAGCCACACUGGAACUGAGACACGGUCCAGACUCCUACGGGAGGCAGCAGUGGGGAAUAUUGCACAAUGGGCGCAAGCCUGAUGCAGCCAUGCCGCGUGUAUGAAGAAGGCCUUCGGGUUGUAAAGUACUUUCAGCGGGGAGGAAGGCGACACGGUUAAUAACCGUGUUGAUUGACGUUACCCGCAGAAGAAGCACCGGCUAACUCCGUGCCAGCCGCCGCGGUAA